UGGAAGACAUAUCACAACCAUAUUGUCUC
rnacentral:piRNA from 1 species